rnacentral:lncRNA from 1 species
GAGAUCGGUCAACGUCCAGCGCUCACAGGAGAGCCCAGCCCUUACGAAGAUGUCAGUGUAAAUACCCCCGGGGAGUUUACAAGCCUCGCUCCUCAUGCAAACGCAUUCCGAGUUUAUGCCCCGGGCCCAAGGUACGAGCCAUUUGAAACCGAAACCAACCGGAACCCCGCGGCGGCCGUAAGCGGGCUGGCGUGGAAAGCAGGGCGGCCGGGCUGCGCGCCGACCCGCGGCACUUUCACUGCGCCCAGAGCCAGGGGAGCGCGGAACGGCGCUCAGCCUCGGCGCGCGCGGCAGCGCUCGGGUGCGCACUUGCGGCCACCGCCGCCGAGUUUCUCCGGGGAACGUCCGAAAGCACCGAAGGCUCGAGAGCCGCCUUCCCGCGAGGACCGCGGCCGCCCCACCUGCCGCAGGGCCGCCGCCCGCCGCCCCGCAGCGCCCCGGGCCCGGACGCGGCCUGCAACCGCCCGCCGCGCUGCCGGGAGCGGCCGGGCCGGGCGGCGGGCCAGGCGGGCAGCGCUCCAAACGUGCCCGGGAGUUGUGACAGGAGCAAAGUGGGUCACCGGGCCUAGCGGGCGCCCCGCGAGCGCCCCCCGGCCCCGCCGCCGCCCGCGCCCCGCUCAAGGGCGGCCGCCGCCCUCCCCGCGCCCCGCCGCCGCCCCGGCGUCGGGGGACCCGGCGGCGCCGUCAAACUUCGGCGGCCGCCCCGCGCCGUCCCCCGGCUCGCCCCCUCCUCGGGAGCCCAGCCCGUCGGAGCCGCCCGCCCCGCAGUCGCGCCUCCCUCCGCGCCCCGCUCCCGGCGCGGCCGCCGCCGCCCGCCCGCCCGACCUCUCCCGGCGAGCGCCGCUCUCCGCGCGCAGCCCCUCGCCCGCCGCCGGCACGCAGCCUUCUCCGGCGGCAGCAGCGCCGGCAGCCGGGCCCGCCAAUCCCCGCCACCGCGCCUGCGCCGCCGAGCCCACCGCCGGCAGCCGCGGCGCCUCGCGCCACCGCGCGUGCGUCACGGCGCACUGCAAGCCGCGGCACGGCGGCCCUUCGCUCCGGAGCGCCACGUCCGCGCGUGCGCGGAGGGGCGGCGGGCGAAGAGGCGAACUCUCGAGCUAGCAGGUCGCCCUUCCGCGCGUGCGCAAGAUCGAGGAGCAGAGCGCGGGGUGCGGUGGAGGGGGGCCGCGCAGGCGCCGUGGGUGCCGCGCCUUCGUGACCUGGGUUCACCUCGCCUCGCCUCACCCCGCUCCGCCCGAGGAGGAAAUGGCGGCGGGCGCUGUCUCGGCGGGGAGCGGGGAUCCCGGCCCCGCAGCGCCACCCCUGCGGCUCGGAGCGCCAGGCCGGCGGCAGCCCGUGCGGGGGUGAGAGAGCCGGGGGGCGGCGUCCCGCCCGCGGAAAGGGCGCGCUGAGCGCUGCUGCCGCCGCGCGUCGGGGGGACCCGCGCCGUCCCGCUCCGCGGUUCUGCCGUCGGUGUGGGUGAGCGGGCGGAGCUCGCGGGUCGGCCUUCGGCGUCUCCACGUCCCGUUUAGCGCCGGUUUGCGAGGCGGUGUCAUCCGUUAGGCGUCGGAAGCGGCCCUGGCAGCAUUGGAAACCCCGACGCCUAUGGAAAUCCUCCGUCUUGCGUCUUCAGAAAAUGUUUUAUCAGCGCAGGAACGUGCGGCUGCGAUUGGAGCAGCAGGACUGUGAUAAUAAAAGUCAGCUUUCUCUUGUGUGCCUGCGUGUG